UUUUUAGUCAAUUGGAAUGUGGAUUUCCAAUCCCUCCUAUGGAGGUUUCAUUUUCUCCUUCUAUGGAGUUUCUAUUCCUCCUUUAAUGGAGUGUUUCAUUUUCUCUUUUUAUGGAGUUUUCUUCUCCUCCUUUCAUGGAGUGAUUCCUCCUUCAUGGAGUGCCUUUAUAUUCUCCUUUUAUGGAGUUUGUCUUUCUCCUUAAGGGAGUUUAAUAAACUGUUUUUCAUCCAAUGAUUUUUAAUACAAAUUAACCCUAAUUUUUUUUCUCGAAGAGAGGUAAGUACAACACAUUUUCUUCCUCCCUCUGCGAUUUGUGGUGGCUUUCUUCAUACGAGUGAAGUUGCUCAUUUUAUGUUCGUUCUUGAGAGCUUGCAAUGCACUCGGAGAUAAUAGAGAAGAUAAAGAAUUGCCUACUUUCUGGGGCAUUUUCAGUAGAAAUUCAGGAGUGCUAUAGUAAGACCUUAAGCUUUUCAACUGUUCUUCAUUUUAAUGAACUCAUCAGCUGACAAAAAAUUAAACCCAGAAAUGGAGUCGACCCUGAAGAUGAUGAAGACGAUGAAGAAGAAGUGCGUCAGAUGUUGAAAUAUGGAACCCAAAUAAUGCAUAAUCAGCUGUAUCGACCUGAUGAUCAGGAGCCUGAUAAUGGAGGGUAGAAACAUCAAAUUGAGGACCAUUUUUUGUUGCAUAGCAUUUUCUCCAUAUGUUAUUUUGUUGUAUAGCAAGUGCUUUCAGCCAACUUGUAUAGUCUUCUGGAUCCUUCUUAUUCAUUGUAUAUAUAUGUGCAAGAAGUUCACAGUAAAAUAAUUCUUAUAAUACUCAUCUGGUCAUGUAGUUUUCUCUUUUGCGAAGGAGCAUUUCAUUCCCUUAUUUUUCUUAUAUGGUAUCAGAGCCAUAGCCAUGGCUGACAAUCAAAGCUCAUCGAGGAAACAACAAACCCGAAUGGAAGUACUGAAUAAAAUUUCAACACCAACCCAAUGCCAAACAAUCAUCAUAUUCCAAAUUCUAAUGACCCUACUCAUCCCUGCAGUUCCUAUCAUAUUGAGGGAAAUGACCAUUCUGGUGUAAUACCAGUCAGUCAUGUCCUUGACAAUACCAAUUAUAAUGCUUGGGCAAGGUCCAUGAAGACAGCACUUUGAAUUAAAAAUAAACUUGGCUUCAUUGAUGGAAGCAUUUGUGAGCCAGCAGAUUCCAACAAUUUUUUGAUCGAACACUGGUUACGUUGCAAUGAUAUAGUAAUUGCUUGGUUGCAGAACACUAUUUCUGUUGAUAUUAAUCCUCGCACACUUUAUGCUGAAAUGACUCAUGAGCUCCGGUUGGACUUGGAGCAUCAGUUAGGAUAGCAGAAUGCCCCACAGAUUUAUGAGGUAAAAUAGUCCAUUGCUACCUUAAUGCAAAAUGAUGACAUCGUAAGUGUAUACUUACCCAAAUAUAAGACAUUUCUUGAUAGAUUGAUUAAUUAUGAGUCCAUUCCCAACUGCACUUGUGGAGGUUUCAAAUCUGUCAUUGAGAACCAACAAAGAGAUUGGGUAAUGAAGUUUUUAAUGGGGUUAAAUGACUCGUAUAAAGCAAUCAAGGCACAAGUCCUGCUGAUCAAGCCUUUACCCAUUCUAAACGAGGUGUAUUCUAUAAUUCAGCAAGAAGAGAAAAGAAGACAAAUCUCAAUGGACACUUCCAUACCUGACUCUAUGGCACUUGCAACUGGAGGAAGCUUCUGUACUGCAGCAGUGCAAAAUGGGAUGGGAUAGAGAAAAUAUUAUUGUACUCUCUGUAAAAUACCUAGACAUUCACUAGAAAGAUGCACUAAGGCCAAUCCUAAAAGGACACUCCAUUGACAAAUGCUAUAAGAUUCAUGGAUAUCCCCCGGAGCACAAGUUGUAUGGAAAAGGAAAGGCCUGUGCAGACCUAGUUUCCUUGCAGGGACAAGGAGAAGUUAACAAUGAGAAUCAGGUGACAUUCACUCUGGAGCAACGUGCACAACUUUUCGCACUACUGCAGUUACAAAACAGCAAAUGCCUAACUAGCACAAUCCCAGCAGACACAAACUUCCAACCUUUUUGGACCUUUUGAAUUGGAAAAUGACUGGAAUGGGUGAAGUGAGGCAAUGACUAUAUCACCUGUUACGAUCCAAAGUCUUUCCUUCAGUCUUAACAGAAGCUCUUGCUUUUAUUACAAACAAAACCUCUAUGUCAGUAGCCACUCUUAGCAACAAUAAAGAUUUUGAUCUCUGGUACUAUAGGCUGGGACAUCCAUUCCAUUCUAGAUUAGAUCUAUUGAAUAUCAAUUGCAGUCCUAAGCUUGUCAAGGAAACCUGUUCUAUCUAUCCCAUGGCCAAAAUGCAUAAAUUACCAUUUUUAGUCAGUUAUCACAAAUAUAAGAAAAUUUCUGAUCUUAUUCACUGUGACCUUUGGGGUUCUUGCAUUGAAACUAGUUAUGAUGAAUCUAAAUAUUUAUUAUCCAUAGUUGAUGAUUUUAGCAUGUGCACUUGGGUUUAUAUGUUAAAGCUAAAGUAGAUGCUACUGCAGCUUUGCAAGGUUUUUGUGCCUUAAUAAACACUCAAUUCCAGUCAUAAGUAAAGGUAAUUAGGACAGACAAUGGAUGGGAAUUUGAAAUGAAAGAAUACUACCAUAAAAAGGAGAUCAUACACCAGAAAAAGUGUGUUGAAACACCACAGCAAAAUGCACUAGUUGAAAGAAAACAUCAGCAUAUUCUUAAUGUUGAAAGAGCCCUAAAAAUCUAAAGUGGUAUCCCCAUGGAGUACUAGAAUGAUUGCAUUCUCACUGCGGUAUAUUUUAUAAAUAGAACACCCUCACCUUUGUUUGAAAACAAAACUCCUUUUGAGAUUCUAUUCAAACACAAGCCAAGCUACUCACACCUUAAAGUAUUUGGAUGCCUUGCUUAUACUUGAACCCUGGUCAAUCAUAGGACUAAGUUUGAGCCAAGAGCCAAGAAGUGCAUAUUUUUGGGAUACCCUUUGGAAUAAAAGGAUACAAGCUUCUUGACCUUGAAUCUGAAAGAAUUUUUAUCUCAAGAAAUGUAGUGUUUUAUGAAGACCAUUUUCCUUACAAAGAUGGCAGUGCAUCUGAAAAUGCUAACAUAGAAUCAUUACCUAUACUCACCAAAUUUGAAAUAGAAUACCAUACCAUUCUUUCUCCUACAAACACCAUUGAUGAAGUAAUAAAAAAUGAUCAUGAAAACUAUCCCUCACCUCGUGAGUCAAAAACAUUUUCCUCACCAAAUUUUCAAAAACUCGAACAAGAACCAUGUGACACACCAUGAACAAUCAUCAACCAAUACAUAGAUCCUCAAAAAUUAAAAAAGCUCCCACUUACCUUGAGCACUAUAUCUGCCAACAGGCCUCAUUUUGUCCAUCACAAAAGUUGGACA